rnacentral:rRNA from 1 species
AUAGAUUUUAUUUAUUAAUUUUAUUUAUUUAUUUAAUUUAUUUAAUAAAAAUAAUUUUAAAAUUUUAAGUUUAAGUAUUUUAUAAAGAAAAAAUAAUUUUAAUUAUAGUUUAUUUGUAUUGUGAAAGAAAAUUGAAAUAAUUUGAAAAAUUUUUAUUUUAAAAGAAAAUUUAAUUUAUUGUACCUUGUGUAUCAGGGUUUAUUAAAUAAAAAAUUAUUAUAUUAAUUUUUCUCGAAUUUUAAAGAUUUAAUUAUAUAUAAAAGUUACUGUGGAAUAAUUAUUUUUAAUAUAUAAUUAGAAAUGAAAUGUUAAUCGUUUUAAAAUAUAUCUAGUUUUUUAAGAAAUAAAUUUAAUUUAGAUUUAUAAAUUUAAAUUAUUUAAUUAUUUUAAAUAAUUUAUUUUAUAAAAUUAAUAUUUUAAGGGAUUAGCUUUAAAAUAAAUUUUUAAAUUUUAAAUUAAUUAUUUAAUAAAUAUAAGCUUAAAAAUAGCUAUUAUUAAUAAAUUUGUUAUAAUUUAUUUUAAAAAUUUAAUUAUUUAAUAUAAAAUUAAAUUAUUUAUUAAAAUAUAAAUUUUAAUAAUAAAAAUUUAUAAAUUAUGAUAAAAUUAGUAUAUAAAAUUUUUAUAAAUAAUUAUUUAUGAAAGGUUUAAAUAAGGAAUUCGGCAAAAUAUAUAUUCACCUGUUUAUCAAAAACAUGUCUUUUUGAAUUAAAUUUAAAGUCUAACCUGCCCACUGAUAUAAAUUAAAGGGCCGCAGUAUUUUGACUGUGCGAAGGUAGCAUAAUCACUAGUCUUUUAAUUGGAGGCUUGUAUGAAUGGUUGAAUGAGAUAUAUACUGUCUUUUUUAAAAUUAUAUAGAAUUUUAUUUUUUAGUUAAAAAGCUAAAAUAAAAUUAAAGGACGAGAAGACCCUAUAGAUCUUUAUUUUUGUUAUUUAUAAAUUAAAAAGAAUUUUAAAAUUUAUAAUUUAAUAAAAAAUUUUAUUGGGGUGAUAUUAAAAUUUAAAAAACUUUUAAAAUUUAUUAACAUUAAUAUAUGAAUAAAUGAUCCAGUUUUAUUGAUUAAAAAUUUAAGUUACCUUAGGGAUAACAGCGUAAUUUUUUUUUAGAGUUCAUAUCGACAAAAAAGAUUGCGACCUCGAUGUUGGAUUAAGAGUUAUUUUUAGGUGUAGAAGUUUAAAGUUUAGGUCUGUUCGACCUUUGAAUUCUUACAUGAUCUGAGUUCAAACCGGCGUAAGCCAGGUUGGUUUCUAUCCUUAAUUAAUUAUUAUAUUAUAGUACGAAAGGACCUAAUAUAAAAAAUAUAGAUUUUAAUAAUAUGAUUAAUAUUAAUAUUAGAUA